UACGUAGGGGGGCUAGCGUUGUCCGGAAUCAUUGGGCGUAAAGAGCGUGUAGGCGGCCCGAUAAGUCCGCUGUGAAAGUCCAGGGCUCAACCCUGGGAUGCCGGUGGAUACUGUCGGGCUCGAGUCCGGAAGAGGAGUGUGGAAUUCCUGGUGUAGCGGUGAAAUGCGCAGAUAUCAGGAGGAACACCAAUGGCGAAGGCAGCACUCUGGGACGUGACUGACGCUGAGACGCGAAAGCGUGGGGAGCAAACAGG
rnacentral:rRNA from 1 species